UUAGCGAACUAUGCUUUUUCUU
rnacentral:snRNA from 1 species